AUUUGUCUGGUUAAUUCCGAUAACGAACGAGACCUUAACCUGCUAAUUAGAUUCUUUUAUCUUAUAAUCGGUAUCUUCUUAGAGGGACUAUGUAAAACAAAUACAUGGAAGUUUGAGGCAAUAACAGGUCAGUGAUGCCCUUAUAUGUCCUGGGCUGCACGCGUGCUACACUGAUGUAUACAACAAGUGCCUAACCAGACAUGGUAUGGCAAUCUCGAAUAUGCAUCGUGAUGGGGAUAGAUCUUUGCAAUUAUAGAUCUUGAACGAGGAAUUCCUAGUAAGUGCAAGUCAUCAUCUUGCAUUGAUUAUGUCCCUGCCCUUUGUACACACCGCCCGUCGCUCCUACCGAUACCGGGUGAUCCGGUGAACCUUUUGGACCUUAACUGGGAAGAUAAGUAAACCAUAUCACCUAGAGGAAGGAGAAGUCGUAACAAGGUUUCCGUAAGUGAACCUGCRGAAGGAUCA
rnacentral:rRNA from 1 species